rnacentral:rRNA from 1 species
AUUGAACGCUGGCGGCAUGCCUUACACAUGCAAGUCGAACGGCAGCACGGGAGCAAUCCUGGUGGCGAGUGGCGAACGGGUGAGUAAUAUAUCGGAACGUGCCCAGUCGUGGGGGAUAACGCAGCGAAAGCUGUGCUAAUACCGCAUACGAUCUACGGAUGAAAGCGGGGGAUCGCAAGACCUCGCGCGAUUGGAGCGGCCGAUAUCAGAUUAGCUAGUUGGUGGGGUAAAGGCCCACCAAGGCGACGAUCUGUAGCUGGUCUGAGAGGACGACCAGCCACACUGGAACUGAGACACGGUCCAGACUCCUACGGGAGGCAGCAGUGGGGAAUUUUGGACAAUGGGCGCAAGCCUGAUCCAGCCAUUCCGCGUGAGUGAAGAAGGCCUUCGGGUUGUAAAGCUCUUUCGGCAGGAACGAAACGGUCUUUUCUAAUACAAGAGGCUACUGACGGUACCUGAAGAAGAAGCACCGGCUAACUACGUGCCAGCCGCCGCCGUAA